GACUUGAAUACAUCUAACUUAUUUAAAUAUGCUUGUUUUUCCCUAUUUUUCUUUCCCCUUCAUUGUUAAUAUUAAAUGUGUUGAGUAUCUGAACUCCAUGAAUCUUUUUAGUGAUGACUGAAGAAAAAUAGGCAUUAAACACUUGAGCUUUCUUGAUGUCACCCAUUAUUAGCUCUGGUUCCCUGGUAAAUAGAGGACUUACACUUUCCUUCCUUCCUUCUUGCUCGUGCUUCUAAUGAAUUUAAAGAAUCUCUUCUUAUUGCCUUUUAUGUUCCUUGCUAGAUGUAACUCAUUUUGUCCCUUAGCCUUUCUGGUUUUGUUCCUGCAUGCAUGCUCUAUUAUUUUAUAUUCCUCCUUAGCAGUUUGUCCAUGUUUCCACUUUUUGUAGGAUUCCUUUUUGAUUUUCAGGUAAUUUAAAGAGCUCCUAAUAGAGCCACAUUGAUCUGUUACUAUUCUUCCUCUCUUUCCUUCACAUUGGGAUAGCUGGCAGUUGUGCCUUUAAUAUUGUUUUCUUGAGAAACUGCCCUCUCUCCUGUACUCCUUUUCCUCUUAGAUUUUCUUCACAUACCUGUCUGUUUUCUGAGUUUGUUAAAAUCUGAUUUUUUAAAAACACGUUAUUCUUAGUCUGCUGCUUUCAUUCUUUCUUUGCCUUAGAAUCAUGAAAUCUGUCAUUUCAAGAUCACGAUCACCCAAAUUACCUUUCUCCUUCAGAUUCGCUACCAAUUCCUCCCUGUUGGUUAGAAUCAAGUCUAAAAUGACUAUUUUCCCUGGUUAUUGCCUCCACUUCCUGGAACAAAAAAAUGUCUUGAAUACAUUCCAAAAGCUUCUUGGAAAUUUUAUGUUUUGCUGUAUUAUUUUACCAACAGAUACCUGGGAAGUUAAACUCCGCCAUUACUACUAGGUCUUGUGUUUUGGGUAUUUGUGGUGUUUGUCAUUCACAUCCUCUUUCUGAUUUGGUGGUCUAUAAUAGACCCAUACCCUGUUUUUUACCCCUUUUAUGUUUUCCCUUGGACUUUCGGCUGGUCUGCAUCCAGUCUCCUUCUGGGCCUCAGAACAAGUGUAUGCAUUCUUGAUAUAUAAUGCAACAUCUCCUCCCUUUUUACCUUGCCUGUCCUUCCUGAACAAACUAUACCAAUACUCCAGGCAUGAGACUUGUCCCACCAAGUCUCUGUGAUGCCAAUUAAGUCAUAAUUGAGCUUAUGUACUAAUACUUCCAGUCUCCUUUCAUUUGUGUAUAGACUUCUAAGAUGUUGGGCAGAUUUCCCCCACUGAUUUCCUUCUUGUUGCUCCUAUGACCCUAUUCUAAUUGUCCAUGUCCCCUCCAACAUUUCUGUUAAGGUCAUCUUUUUUAUACUUGCCUGUGGGCUUUUGUCACCUGCCCCGUUUAAAGCCCUCCUCACUAGAUUGGCGAGUCCGUGCGUGACGAUGCUCUUCCCCUUCUUUGUCAGAUGGACCCCAUCCGCUUUGACCUACUGCUGUUUUUUAUGGAACUUUUAGUGUGUAAUAGCAGGGUCCACAUGACAAUUUAGUGUGAAGCAGGCUAGUGCACUGUACGUUCAGACCCUAAGUCUUCCUGUGGAUAGGCCCUUAGAUAUAGAAUUGUGUUAGAGCUUCUCUAAGAGAAAAUACAUUGUUAGAAAGCGUGUUAACAAACAUAAUGUUAAACAGUAUGGCUUUAGUCCUUAGUGUGGACAAGGAUAGUCAUGUUUGAAAACCCUAGCUAAUCCUAACUAAUACAUUUUAAAAAACAACUGCCCUUGUCCAAUGUCCCAUACUGUUUUAACUUGAGUGUCCCAACUAGCCUCUGAAGUUAUGUCUUGAUGGAAUAAAGCAGAUGAGUUGACACAUUUGCUGCUGCUGUUUGAGAUGGUUUUCUGCAAGGCUGUUUCAGUAUAGUUAGUCCCAUGUGCUCAAAAAUCAAGAGCCAGGCCUCUCAAAAUCAUGAGAUUGGCUUUAAAAAUGAGAUAUUUUAAAAUAAGACUACAUUUUAGAUACCUUUUAUUUACUUUCUGGUUUUUGAACCUUUAGGUUACACUUGGGUCACAUUCUCAAACUUUUCUCUGCAAGCUUGUGAAUAGAAGAUUACUUUUAAACAAAACUUGAAAGCUGAGCUUCUCAUGUAUUCAUCUGACUUUAGAAGCUGAGGCUUUAAGAAAUGCAGUAUAUCGAAUAUCUUGAAGCUCGUGAUGAAAUUGAAAGAUCUGGCGAAGCUAUUCAUUUUUGUUUAUAUCUUUGAAAUAAACAAGGAAAUUGAAAUCAAGCGUAUGUUAAUGUAACUUUAAGGUGUAAACUGUGCAAAGGGGCAUAUGUGUUGCCUUACCCAGGAGGAGCUUUUGGGGCAGACACAACUGCUUUUGGAAGAACUGGGGGAGUUCAGAUUGGAUUGGUUCCUGCUGCACCCUUUGAAAGGAUGGCUGGCACAGUAGGUAAGUCUCCCUCCUUGCAUGCUCAUGGAGGGCUUGUCACAAUCUAUUUGCAGCCCAAAUAAUAAUCAAGAAUACUUACAUAUAUGCAGUGUGCUUGUUACCAUUGCUACCAGCAGUACCAUAACAUUUUAAUUUCUUGACUUGAUUGUCUAGAUUUGCAACCUUAAUGUUGCAUGAAUGUUUCACCUUUUUCACAUUAAAUAGAAAUACAGAUGUGGUUUUAUUUUCCAUGUAUGUACAUGCUAAAUUUGUAUCUGUUCCUUUUUCUAUAAUUUUUAAAUGAUAAAGCUCAA